rnacentral:rRNA from 1 species
GAUCCUGGCUCAGGAUGAACGCUAGCUACAGGCUUAACACAUGCAAGUCGAGGGGGCAGCAUGGUCUUAGCUUGCUAAGGCCGAUGGCGCCGGCGCACGGGUGAGUAACAGUAUCCAACCUGCCGUCUACUCUUGGACAGCCUUNUGAAAGGAAGAUUAAUACAAGAUGGCAUCAUGAGUUCACAUGUUCACAUGAUUAAAGGUAUUCCGGUAGACGAUGGGG